ACUGUCCGAAGUAAUAAAUAAAGGAUUAGUCAACUUGUAUUAUGGAACCUUAACAAAUUGCCUUCGAGUCCUUAUUUGUAUGGGAAUACAAAUCACAACAUGGUGGCAGCGGUGCAGAACUUCUAUCAUAGAAAUGACUGGAUCGAUUUGAUUCGAUAUAUCUACCCUAAAGAUCAGAUGAGAAACGUUUUAUAUUGUGCCGUGUGAUUGACGGAAUUGACUGAACCGGCCUGGUCGUUUGAGCGAAAGCCCAGUGAGACACCGUGCCGAAGUCUUCCCGUUGUGUGCCGAAGGAAUCCACUACGGCGCUUGGGGUGAUACGUUAUGGUACACACACCCAUGAACUUUUCAAGCGCAGGUUGCCAUGACAUCGACGCGGACUGAUAUUGAUUGGUCAAGCAUCGCGACAUAAAUUAUGUUGAUGAGGAUCGUCGACGUCACAAUACGACCGGACGGGACCCUUUUGUGAUAACGUCUACAUCUAGCUCUUUAUUGGGAACGACAAGUAGACCAAGACUUGCUGAACUGGAUCCCGGUGAAAUUGAGAUGUAACAGAGGGCCUGCAGUUCCAUCAUAAGAGAGACUUUCCAUAAGUUUCCACGGGCUGCCUAACUGAGUAUCAGAAUGUUCAAUGAUUAUGAAUCUUAGAUUCCAGUUGAGACAAUGAGAGACAAAUUGGGUGGUUGACUUAGACUGGAUCUGCCAGAAGAUAAUUUACACAGAUGACAAACUAAGACUAAGUGACCGCAUCAAUAACCAACAUGGAGGAAGCCCUUAUCCUAGAAGUGUAGGAAAAUCCAUUCCUGUAUGACAAGAGAUUGGAGAUGUUCAAGGAUACAGAAGUAAAAAAAUGAUGUAUAACAUGACAUUGGGCGUCAGCUUGUAAUCUCAGGUGACGUAGCGAGUUGAGGGACAACUUCCUAAAAAACGACAGAAAUGGAGAGGAAGAGUGGUGACGGAGCUCCCUCAAAUGCAGCACGUAAAUACAAGUACAGUGAGGCAAUGGAAUUCCUACUUCCCCACAUACAUAAUCGAGACAGAACAAGUUCAAUCUUGGAUCCUGUGUUUGAUGUGGACACACCAGGAGAAGCCUGUACCAAGCAGGAAGAAACUGAGCAGGAGAAUGGUGGGUGACAUCUGUCCACAACGUGGGUCAGUCUUCCUCGUCAUCAUCCUCAGGCACGUCCGCAACAUCAGUCCAGUCUUCAAGUCCCAACUUCACUUCAAAUCGAGGACACAAUGUUGCAGUAUUUUCAAAGCACUGAUAGUCAUGGUGACAACAUAACUGUAGAUAAAUUUUUCUCCAGCUUGUCCCCCAUUGUCCCACACUGUAAAAGUUACCUCAACGCCAGCUCCAUUGCUAUGAGGUUAAAUUUCGGUCGUCUGAACAUUGAACAUACUACUAUAGGAAUUAAAGUUUUUGUGUCAUCUAACUCCAAGUCGAUUCUUAUUGAUGUUAUAAACAUCUCACAAUUUAAGAAUCCAAAUAUGUUUCGUAGAGUAAAAAAAAAGUUAACGGAAAAUGCUCUAACUUGCUAUGCUCCACCGCUAAAAAGAGAGCUGAUAUCUUAUUCCCUCUGACCAUGGAGCUAAUAGCUCUAUGCUCUGACAUCACUCAAUACUCUUUCGAUUGUAACAUAAAAGAUGCAAUGUCAGACAUGCAGCAUCACCAACAAAUUAAAAGCGGUGUAUAUAUGAUUACAUCUGAAUUACUUAUGAUAAAUCCAUAUGAAAUAAAUCAUUUGCAGGAAAUCUACAACUUUAAUGACUGAUAUCGUAUUAUAAACAACGACACCAUUAAAUGUGUUAUUCUAAUUUCCACUUGAAUUUUUCACUUUGACAUCUCCAUAGGCAGCGGAAGCGGGGACAGGUCCCCCCCCCCUAAAUUUUUAGUUGAUAACCUUUUUUUUAUUUUUUGGCUUCCACCGCCAAUGUACAUCUCCCAUUGUUACAGUUGCAAGUCAGUCUCAAUUUGCAGAAAUUACGAUUGUGAAGGAUUAUGAUCUUCCUCUUUUGUAGAUCUGGAAAAUAUCGUCUGAGCAUGUUCACCAUUUAUUAAAAAUAUAUUUAUUUCUUAAAUUAUACUUGAAUUUAAAUUCAGGAUUUGUUCACAGAUAAGAGAAGUUGAGCAUUUUGCACAUCACAGAAAUUUGGUUCAUGCAAAUACAUGUAUUAACAUGAUCACUAGUAAUGCACUAUCAAAUAUCAAUACAUGAAACCAGUUACUGUGAAAAUAAAAAUGAUGGGUACUGGACGGAACGUUUCUGGACUAAUGUUUUAUUUUGGAAACAGAGAUCUAGGAUUGUUUGAAAUAUGACAAAACGUUAGAAACAAAAUUUCAUCUCUAAACAGAAUGGCAAUGACACUCCUGUUGCCUGUUUCAUAGAGAGGUACAACUAUCAUAACUUUGUCUUUAAUAUGGCGCAACAUCCAAUUAUAAUUGUGGUUUCCAUGGUAGUUGCCAUAAUGUUAAAGUACUUUUGAAAUGGGCCCCUGGACAUGAAGAAUACUGACAAAAGAAAGUUGAUUGUGAAAUAAAAAGAAUACAUUCAUCUUAAAUUUUUUGACGCCCCAUGCAUUUUUUGUUGUUUAUAUAUCUCGUAUUAUUUUUUUCUGUAAUAAAUUAAUGAGCAUCACUUUUUUUUCAACAACAAAUAUAAUGUAGAUUGCUGAAGAACCUAAAAUAUAUUUGGAGCUGAACUAAACUCAAAAUAAAGAUGUCGACAAAAUGAA